rnacentral:rRNA from 1 species
UCCCAUUUUUCUGAUGUGUUCAAUUCUGUCAUUCACCUGUUAGGGCUGAGAGAGAUCAAUAUGUCAGGAGGCUGUUACACUUGGUCUAAUAAACAGGAGAACCCUACCCUAGAAAAUUUGGAUAGGGUGUUGAUGUCAUCUGAUUGGGAGGAUUUAUAUCCUCUUGUUUCAGUUCAUAAAAUGGUCAAGAUUUCUGAUCAUAACCCACUUCUCCUAGAUGGGGGGGGGGUGGCACCAUCUAGGGCCCCGGGGAAUAGAUGCUUUAAAUUUGAUAAUGCCUGGCUGAGUAACCCAGACUUUCUCCCCUUGGUGGCUGAGAUC